rnacentral:rRNA from 1 species
UACGGAGGGUGCAAGCGUUAAUCGGAAUUACUGGGCGUAAAGCGCACGCAGGCGGUUUGUUAAGUCAGAUGUGAAAGCCCCGGGCUCAACCUGGGAAGUGCAUCUGAAACUGGCAGGCUUGAGUCUUGUAGAGGGGGGUGGAAUUCCAGGUGUAGAGGUGAAAUGCGUAGAGAUCUGGAGGAAUACCGGUGGCGAAGGCGGCCCCCUGGACAAAGACUGACGCUCAGGUGCGAAAGCGUGGGGAGCAAACAGG